GGAAAACCAAGCAAAAGUCACUGUCAGGGGACCUCCCACCCACCAUACAGGGGAACACUCGGCAGAGCCAGAGGCCUGGGCCCAAGUCCUGCCACCAGCUGGCUGUGAAACUGUGGUACAGCACCUUGUGUCCUGCCACCAGCCGGCUGUGAAACUGGUACAGCACCUUGUCCUCAGGUCCUUGGUUUCCUCACUUGUAAAUUCAUGGUUCUCCAUGGCAUCUCUGGUCUUCAACAUUAUUUUGCAUAGAGUCUCAGAAGCUUUAGUGUGAGCGGAUGAUAUGGGCACGAAGCAAGGCACCCAGAAGUGGGGGCAACUACUCUGCUUUCUAAAAUGCAAGGGAACCGGAAAAUCCAGGAGCCGUGCCAAAUGAGAAGAGGAACAAAUGGAGGAACAUCCCAGUCAAGUGACAUUCCUAGUGACAUUCACCAGAACAGAGUCAAGCUUUGGAUCCCAUGUUCUGUGACUUCCUCUUCACCACGCUUCCUCCACACACGUAGCAGCUCAAGGGUUUCUGAUGAGUGGGGUCUAUGUUCCCUUUAUGAGCUGUAACGCACACCAUGAAGGUCUGCGGCUUGGCUAUUGAGUCAGUGAGAGCGUGAACCUACUAUUAGAAGAAAAACUCUGAAUACGUCUGAACGUCAGAAAGAACGAAGUUUGGACACAUUGUCUUUAAGAACUGUAACACUCACCCCAAGGGUUUAUGGAUUCAUUCUUGAAAUCAGUGAAACCAAAAGCUUUCCAAAGUUUAACACACAGGGAAAUGACUUACUGCAAAGAACCACUCUUCCCCACGAGACUUCGAGAAGACCCGCUGUCACGGACUGAGUUGUGUCCUCUUAAAAUUCAGAUGUUGGAGUCCAAACCCCCAGUAACUCAGAGUGUGAACGUAUUUGAAGAGGUCUUUAAAGAGGUGAUGAAGGUCUUUGUCUCUGACAAUUUGCCUCUGUGACGUGGAUGGGACUGGAAGUCCAUUUGGAGCCCUGUCUUCUCCACCUAGGGAGAGAGACCCCAUGAGCUCGUCAAGCUCCUUCUGUGACUGAUCAGAGAUCCCACCGUGAGUCCAGCUCCUGGUCCCAUGCUCUGGAUAUAUCGGUCCCUGGCAGCGUGGUAUCUCACAGAAUCUCUGACCAAUGGAGAGCUAAUCAAAGACAAGUUUAAUAGGUGAAGAAAAUACUUGGAUUGGGAGGAUGGCUGAAAAGUCCCAUUGAACAAGGCCCUCAAAUGGAGUUCCUGUGGAGUGGUCACCUUUUUGAUGACUUCAACUGGGAACAUCAGUACGGAACCAUCGCUGGGUGUUCAUUCCAUCACCCCUUCCUAUGUCCCUGCUCAGGACACCCUGCGUCUGUCUAUAUGCAUUGCUACCAGUUUAGACAGUGAGUUACAUUUAGUCCAUUUGUGCAUUGUUCUUUAUUGUAUCCAUGGUAUCUAGCACAAUUCUUGUUCUUAUUAGAGCUUGGUAAAUGUCAUUGAUUAAUCCAGGGCAGAUUAUCUCUCUCAUUUUCGUGAAUCCUCUGCAUAAACAAUUU
rnacentral:lncRNA from 1 species